rnacentral:rRNA from 1 species
GUCGAGCGGUAGCACANAGAGCUUGCUCUCGGGUGACGAGCGGCGGACGGGUGAGUAAUGUCUGGGAAACUGCCUGAUGGAGGGGGAUAACUACUGGAAACGGUAGCUAAUACCGCAUAACGUCGCAAGACCAAAGUGGGGGACCUUCGGGCCUCAUGCCAUCAGAUGUGCCCAGAUGGGAUUAGCUAGUAGGUGGGGUAAUGGCUCACCUAGGCGACGAUCCCUAGCUGGUCUGAGAGGAUGACCAGCCACACUGGAACUGAGACACGGUCCAGACUCCUACGGGAGGCAGCAGUGGGGAAUAUUGCACAAUGGGCGCAAGCCUGAUGCAGCCAUGCCGCGUGUAUGAAGAAGGCCUUCGGGUUGUAAAGUACUUUCAGCGAGGAGGAAGGCAUUAAGGUUAAUAACCUUGGUGAUUGACGUUACUCGCAGAAGAAGCACCGGCUAACUCCGUGCCAGCAGCCGCGGUAAUACGGAGGGUGCAAGCGUUAAUCGGANAUUACUGGGCGUAAAGCGCACGCAGGCGGUCUGUCAAGUCGGAUGUGAAAUCCCCNGGGCUCAACCUGGGAACUGCAUUCGAAAACUGGCAGGCUAGAGUCUUGUAGAGGGGGGUAGAAUUCCAGGUGUAGCGGUGAAAUGCGUAGAGAUCUGGAGGAAUACCGGUGGCGAAGGCGGCCCCCUGGGACAAAGACUGACGCUCAGGUGCGAAAGCGUGGGGAGCAAACAAGAUUAGAUACCCUGGUAGUCCACGCCGUAAACGANGUCGACUUGGAGGUUGUGCCCUUGAGGCGUGGCUUCCGGAGCUAACGCGUUAAGUCGACCGCCUGGGGAGUACGGCCGCAAGGUUAAAACUCAAAUGAAUUGACGGGGGCCCGCACAAGCGGUGGAGCAUGUGGUUUAAUUCGAUGCAACGCGAAGAACCUUACCUACUCUUGACAUCCAGAGAACUUAGCAGAGAUGCUUUGGUGCCUUCGGGAACUCUGAGACAGGUGCUGCAUGGCUGUCGUCAGCUCGUGUUGUGAAAUGUUGGGUUAAGUCCCGCAACGAGCGCAACCCUUAUCCUUUGUUGCCAGCNGNCNGGCCGGGAACUCAAAGGAGACUGCCAGUGAUAAACUGGAGGAAGGUGGGGAUGACGUCAAGUCAUCAUGGCCCUUACGAGUAGGGCUACACACGUGCUACAAUGGCAUAUACAAAGAGAAGCGACCUCGCGAGAGCAAGCGGACCUCAUAAAGUAUGUCGUAGUCCGGAUUGGAGUCUGCAACUCGACUCCAUGAAGUCGGAAUCGCUAGUAAUCGUAGAUCAGAAUGCUACGGUGAAUACGUUCCCGGGCCUUGUACACACCGCCCGUCACACCAUGGGAGUGGGUUGCAAAAGAAGUA